UAGCUCAAAUUUGAAAUCUGGCGCUUGCGUCCGAGUUGUAAUUUGUAGAGGAUGAUUUUGGUUAGGUACCUUUCGAGUUCCUUGGAACAGGACGCCUUAGAGGGUGAGAGCCCCGUACGAUUGGAUGCCGAGCCUUUGUAAAUCUCCUUCGACGAGUCGAGUAGUUUGGGAAUGCUGCUCUAAAUGGGAGGUAAAUUUCUUCUAAAGCUAAAUACCGGCCAGAGACCGAUAGCGCACAAGUAGAGUGAUCGAAAGAUGAAAAGCACUUUGAAAAGAGGGUUAAAUAGCACGUGAAAUUGUUGAAAGGGAAGGAUUUAUGACCAGACUUUUUCUGGGAGAAUCAUCCGGUGUUCUCACCGGUGCACUUCUUUUAGUUUAGGCCAGCAUCGACUUUCGGCGGCGGAUAAAAGCUUCAGGAAUGUGGCUCCCCUAGGGGAGUGUUAUAGCCUGUUGUAUAAUACGCUGCUGGGGGUCGAGGUACGCGCUUCUGCAAGGAUGCUGGCGUAAUGGUUAUCAAUCACCCGUCUUGAAACACGGACCAAGGAGUCGAACAUUUGUGCAAGUGUUUGGGUGUUAAACCCUCACGCGUAAUGAAAGUGAACGGAGGUGAGAGCCCUUACGGGUGCAUCAUCGACCGAUCCUGAUGUUUUCGGAUGGAUUUGAGUAAGAGCAUAACUGUUCGGACCCGAAAGAUGGUGAACUAUGCGUGGAUAGGGUGAAGCCAGAGGAAACUCUGGUGGAGGCUCGCAGCGGUUCUGACGUGCAAAUCGAUCGUCAAAUCUGCGCAUGGGG
rnacentral:rRNA from 1 species